UUAUAUUCUGUAGCAAGGUUAACCGUAUAGGGGAGCCGGAGGGAAACCGAGUCUUAAUUGGGCGUUAAGUUGCAGGGUAUAGACCCGAAACCCGGUGAUCUAGCCAUGGGCAGGUUGAAGGUUGGGUAACACUAACUGGAGGACCGAACCGACUAAUGUUGAAAAAUUAGCGGAUGACCUGUGGCUGGGGGUGAAAGGCCAAUCAAACCGGGAGAUAGCUGGUUCUCCCCGAAAGCUAUUUAGGUAGCGCCUCGUGAAUUCAUCUCCGGGGGUAGAGCACUGUUUCGGCUAGGGGGCCAUCCCGGCUUACCAACCCGAUGCAAACUGCGAAUACCGGAGAAUGUUAUCACGGGAGACACACGGCGGGUGCUAACGUCCGUCGUGAAGAGGGAAACAACCCAGACCGCCAGCUAAGGUCCCAAAGUCAUGGUUAAGUGGGAAACGAUGUGGGAAGGCCCAGACAGCCAGGAUGUUGGCUUAGAAGCAGCCAUCAUUUAAAGAAAGCGUAAUAGCUCACUGGUCGAGUCGGCCUGCGCGGAAGAUGUAACGGGGCUAAACCAUGCACCGAAGCUGCGGCAGCGAACGUAUCACCCAAGACAACUUUACGGAGUUGACGAUUGACGGAGCGAAGCGACGUCAAAGCGUUCAUUAAAGUCGAGUUGGCUUAGGGAUACGUUCGUUGGGUAGGGGAGCGUUCUGUAAGCCUGUGAAGGUGUGUCGUGAGGCAUGCUGGAGGUAUCAGAAGUGCGAAUGCUGACAUAAGUAACGAUAAAGCGGGUGAAAAGCCCGCUCGCCGGAAGACCAAGGGUUCCUGUCCAACGUUAAUCGGGGCAGGGUGAGUCGACCCCUAAGGCGAGGCCGAAAGGCGUAGUCGAUGGGAAACGGGUUAAUAUUCCCGUACUUGGUGUUACUGCGAAGGGGGGACGGAGAAGGCUAUGUUGGCCGGGCGACGGUUGUCCCGGUUUAAGCGUGUAGGUGUGUGUUCCAGGUAAAUCCGGUUCACUUUAACACUGAGGCGUGACGACGAGGCACUACGGUGCUGAAGCAACAAAUGCCCUGCUUCCAGGAAAAGCCUCUAAGCAUCAGGUAACACGAAAUCGUACCCCAAACCGACACAGGUGGUCAGGUAGAGAAUACCAAGGCGCUUGAGAGAACUCGGGUGAAGGAACUAGGCAAAAUGGUGCCGUAACUUCGGGAGAAGGCACGCUGACACGUAGGUGAAGUGAUUUACUCAUGGAGCUGAAGUCAGUCGAAGAUACCAGCUGGCUGCAACUGUUUAUUAAAAACACAGCACUGUGCAAACACGAAAGUGGACGUAUACGGUGUGACGCCUGCCCGGUGCCGGAA
rnacentral:rRNA from 1 species